AACGCGAAGAACCUUACCCAGGCUCGAAAUGUAGAGGACGAUACUAGAGAUAGUAUUUUCCGCAAGGACCUCUAUAUAGGUGCUGCAUGGCUGUCGUCAGCUCGUGCCGUGAGGUGUUUGGUUAAGUCCAGCAACGAGCGCAACCCUUAUCAUUAGUUGCCAACAUUUAAGGUGGGGACUCUAAUGAGACUGCCUGGGUUAACCAGGAGGAAGGUGAGGAUGACGUCAAGUCCGCAUGGCCUUUAUGUCUGGGGCUACACACGUGCUACAAUGGUCGGUACAGAAGGCAGCAAGACCGCAAGGUGGAGCAAAUCCGUAAAGCCGAUCUCAGUUCAGAUUGUAGUCUGCAACUCGACUACAUGAAGUUGGAAUUGCUAGUAAUGACGAGUCAGCAACAUCGUCGUGAAUACGUUCCCGGGCCUUGUA
rnacentral:rRNA from 1 species